rnacentral:rRNA from 1 species
AGAGUUUGAUCCUGGCUCAGGACGAACGCUGGCGGCGUGCUUAACACAUGCAAGUCGAACGGAAAGGCCCUGCUUUUGUGGGGUGCUCGAGUGGCGAACGGGUGAGUAACACGUGAGUAACCUGCCCUUGACUUUGGGAUAACUUCAGGAAACUGGGGCUAAUACCGGAUAGGAGCUCCUGCUGCAUGGUGGGGGUUGGAAAGUUUCGGCGGUUGGGGAUGGACUCGCGGCUUAUCAGCUUGUUGGUGGGGUAGUGGCUUACCAAGGCUUUGACGGGUAGCCGGCCUGAGAGGGUGACCGGCCACAUUGGGACUGAGAUACGGCCCAGACUCCUACGGGAGGCAGCAGUGGGGAAUAUUGCACAAUGGGCGGAAGCCUGAUGCAGCAACGCCGCGUGCGGGAUGACGGCCUUCGGGUUGUAAACCGCUUUCGCCUGUGACGAAGCGUGAGUGACGGUAAUGGGUAAAGAAGCACCGGCUAACUACGUGCCAGCAGCCGCGGUGAUACGUAGGGUGCGAGCGUUGUCCGGAUUUAUUGGGCGUAAAGGGCUCGUAGGUGGUUGAUCGCGUCGGAAGUGUAAUCUUGGGGCUUAACCCUGAGCGUGCUUUCGAUACGGGUUGACUUGAGGAAGGUAGGGGAGAAUGGAAUUCCUGGUGGAGCGGUGGAAUGCGCAGAUAUCAGGAGGAACACCAGUGGCGAAGGCGGUUCUCUGGGCCUUUCCUGACGCUGAGGAGCGAAAGCGUGGGGAGCGAACAGGCUUAGAUACCCUGGUAGUCCACGCUGUAAACGGUGGGUACUAGGUGUGGGGUCCAUUCCACGGGUUCCGNGCCGUAGCUAACGCUUUAAGUACCCCGCCUGGGGAGUACGGCCGCAAGGCUAAAACUCAAAGGAAUUGACGGGGCCCCGCACAANCGGCGGAGCAUGCGGAUUAAUUCGAUGCAACGCGUAGAACCUUACCUGGGUUUGACAUGGAUCGGGAGUGCUCAGAGAUGGGUGUGCCUCUUUUGGGGUCGGUUCACAGGUGGUGCAUGGCUGUCGUCAGCUCGUGUCGUGAGAUGUUGGGUUAAGUCCCGCAAC